rnacentral:lncRNA from 1 species
AUGGACAUCUGCUUACCAGAAGAAUGUGUAACAGAAUGCAGGACAGAAAAUGAAGAUCAAGCUAAAAAUGGAAAUAUAUACUUAAAGGAGUGUGGGAUUCAGCUAGCAUGCUCUCCUUCCUUCUGUGAAUUAAGUUUCAGCUCACGUAUGGUGUGUGGGCCUUCACAAAGCAACCAACCCUCAGAUCUGCAAAUCCACCAAGCAGCAAAAAAUGUGAGUUACAGCAACAGUACCUAAAG